rnacentral:lncRNA from 1 species
CGGGCAAAGUCAUUAUUAUUAUUAUUAUUUUUUAGAUCCCUCUGCAUUAUGCAAAGUUCAUCACAGAAAUUCAUCUCUUUUUUCCUUUUGUAUCAAUUGUGGAAUUUAUGUUACUCUUCAAUCAUCCUUGGAAGUAACGCAAAUUAUUUGCGCGUGCAUACGAUUGAAGCUUUGCUUCCACGCCAAGUAGUAACAAUAAUUAAUGAAAACAAAAAAAUGAAAUUAUAAUUAUACAAAAGACCUAAUU